rnacentral:rRNA from 1 species
UACGGGGGGGGCAAGCGUUGUUCGGAAUUACUGGGUGUAAAGGGCUCGUAGGUGGCCAACUAAGUCAGACGUGAAAUCCCUCGGCUCAACCGGGGAACUGCGUCUGAGACUGAAUGGCUUGAAUUCGGGAGAGGGAUGUGGAAUUCCAGGUGUAGCGGUGAAAUGCGUAGAUAUCUGGAGGAACACCGGUGGCGAAGGCGGCAUCCUGGACCGAGAUUGACGCUGAGGCGCGAAAGCCAGGGGAGCAAACGGG